CGCUGGUGGCUUCGCAAUUGUACUCUGUGAACCCCGCCAGGACCGGGAAGGUAGCAACGGUAGCAGAUCUAUGAUGUGCCGAAGUUUUGCUAGUGGGG
rnacentral:SRP_RNA from 1 species